rnacentral:rRNA from 1 species
GUGGGGAAUAUUGGGCAAUGGGCGCAAGCCUGACCCAGCAACGCCGCGUGAGGGAAGAAGGCUUUCGGGUUGUAAACCUCUGUCCUUGGUGACGAAACAAAUGACGGUAGCCAAGGAGGAAGCCCCGGCUAACUACGUGCCAGCAGCCGCGGUAAUACGUAGGGGGCGAGCGUUGUCCGGAAUUACUGGGCGUAAAGGGUGCGUAGGUGGCCUUUUAAGUUGGAUGUGAAAUACCCGGGCUUAACUUGGGGGGUGCAUCUAAUACUGGAGGGCUAGAGUGCAGGAGAGGAAAGCGGAAUUCCUAGUGUAGCGGUGAAAUGCGUAGAUAUUAGGAGGAACACCAGUGGCGAAGGCGGCUUUCUGGACUGUAACUGACACUGAGGCACGAAAGCGUGGGGAGCAAACAGGAUUAGAUACCCUUGUAGUCC